rnacentral:rRNA from 1 species
AUAUUGGACAAUGGGCGAAAGCCUGACGGAGCAACGCCGCGUGAGUGAUGAAGGCCUUCGGGUCGUAAAGCUCUGUCUUCAGUGACGAACGAGACGGUAACUGAGGAGGAAGCCACGGCAAACUACGUGCCAGCAGCCGCGGUAAUACGUAGGUGGCGAGCGUUGUCCGGAAUUACUGGGCGUAAAGCGCGCGUAGACGGCUUAGUAAGUCAGAUGUGAAAGACCCGGGCUCAAACUGGGGGCGGCAUCUGAGACUGCGGAGCUUGAGUGCAGGAGAGGCAAGUGAAAUUCCCAGUGUAGCAGUGAAAUGCGUAGAGAUUGGGAGGAACACCAGUGGCGAAGGCGACUUGCUGGACUGUAACUGACGUUGAGGUGCGAAAGCUAGGGGAGCAAACGGG